CUACCCGGGUAUCUAAUCCUGUUUGAUCCCCACGCUUUCGUGCCUCAGCGUCAAUCUUCGUUUAGCCUGCUGCCUUCGCAAUAGGUGUUCUAUGUCAUCUCUAAGCAUUUCACCGCUACAUGACAUAUUCCGCAAACCUCAACGAUAUUCAAGAUAGAUAGUAUCAACGGCAAUUUCCGGGUUAAGCCCGAAGAUUUCACCACUGACUUACCUACCCGCCUACGCACCCUUUAAACCCAGUAAAUCCGGAUAACGCUUGCACCCUCCGUAUUACCGCGGCUGCUGGCAC
rnacentral:rRNA from 1 species